rnacentral:rRNA from 1 species
GGGUGGUAAUGCCGGAUGCUCCAUCACACCGCAUGGUGUGUUGGGAAAGCCUUUGCGGCAUGGGAUGGGGUCGCGUCCUAUCAGCUUGAUGGCGGGGUAACGGCCCACCAUGGCUUCGACGGGUAGCCGGCCUGAGAGGGCGACCGGCCACAUUGGGACUGAGAUACGGCCCAGACUCCUACGGGAGGCAGCAGUGGGGAAUAUUGCACAAUGGGCGCAAGCCUGAUGCAGCGACGCCGCGUGAGGGAUGGAGGCCUUCGGGUUGUAAACCUCUUUUAUCAGGGAGCAAGGCUUCGGUUGAGUGUACCUGUUGAAUAAGCACCGGCUAACUACGUGCCAGCAGCCGCGGUAAUACGUAGGGUGCAAGCGUUAUCCGGAAUUAUUGGGCGUAAAGGGCUCGUAGGCGGUUCGUCGCGUCCGGUGUGAAAGUCCAUCGCUUAACGGUGGAUCCGCGCCGGGUACGGGCGGGCUUGAGUGCGGUAGGGGAGACUGGAAUUCCCGGUGUAACGGUGGAAUGUGUAGAUAUCGAAAAAAAA